rnacentral:misc_RNA from 1 species
GUGAAUCAUCAAAUUUUUGAACGCAUAUUGCACUCUCUGGUAUCCCGGAGAGUAUGCCUGUUUGAGGGUAAUUAAAAAGAAUCUUUAACCAAUUUUUUUUGGUUAAAGGAAAUGAGUUCUCCGCGUUUAUAGCGGUAGCUUGAAAUAAAUGGUAGUCUCUUUUAAUCGAAGCGCCUUAUUAUUUUAAUUUGGCGAAUUUUUAUU